UACGGAGGGUGCAAGCGUUAUCCGGAUUCACUGGGUUUAAAGGGUGCGUAGGCGGGUAAGUAAGCCAGUGGUGAAAUCUUCAAGCUUAACUUGGAAACUGCCAUUGAUACUAUUUAUCUUGAAUGUUCUGGAGGUCAGCGGAAUAUGUCAUGUAGCGGUGAAAUGCUUAGAUAUGACAUAGAACACCUAUUGCGAAGGCAGCUGACUACGGAAAUAUUGACGCUGAGGCACGAAAGCGUGGGGAUCAAACAGG
rnacentral:rRNA from 1 species